AUUGAACGCUGGCGGCAGGCCUAACACAUGCAAGUCGAACGCGAAAGCUCCUUCGGGAGUGAGUAGAGUGGCGAACGGGUGAGUAACGCGUAGGAAUCUACCCAAGAGUGGGGGACAACCCGGGGAAACUCGGGCUAAUACCGCAUAUGCCCUAUGGGGUAAAGUGGGGGACCUUUUCGGAGGCCUCAUGCUUUUGGAUGAGCCUGCGUCGGAUUAGCUUGUUGGUGAGGUAAUGGCUCACCAAGGCGACGAUCCGUAGCUGGUCUGAGAGGAUGAUCAGCCACACUGGGACUGAGACACGGCCCAGACUCCUACGGGAGGCAGCAGUGGGGAAUAUUGGACAAUGGGGGAAACCCUGAUCCAGCCAUGCCGCGUGUGUGAAGAAGGCUUUCGGGUUGUAAAGCACUUUCAGUAGGGAAGAAAAGCCUGAGGUUAAUAGCCUCGAGUCUUGACGGUACCUACAGAAGAAGCACCGGCUAACUCCG
rnacentral:rRNA from 1 species